CCAAGAUGCAGAGGCUAGGGGUGCAAAGGGAUCUACGUAGAAUCCUAAACCAUCACGCAGUCAUCCAGUCAGAAGCAGAGAGGACAGUAAGAAGGACCAGGAUCGCUCUGUGCAAUGGACUGCUUGUCAUGACAGGAAGCUCAUCUUGUCAGAACUCGGUCAUCUCAUUUAUUGGACAUCCUGGUUUACAAAAUCUCUGCCAGAUCAGGAAUCCAACAAACAAGCAGGAGCUGGUCCUGUCAUAAAUGUCAACCGUCAUCCAGAAGGAACACAUAAAAGCAAGGAACCAUGGCUGGGACAUGACUCCCAAGACAACACUUAACCAAUCGUUUAUUUAAGGUUCAUCUAUUUGCCAUUCUUGCAAGUGACCAUGGGGUGUCAGUAGUGUUCCUCACAAAGGUUUUCAAAACAGCUGCUCCAGGAAAUAGCGAACCUCUGGAAAAUGCUAAAGAAAGCUGAUGUUAGGAGCUGGGCUUCGGUGCCCUGAGGUGACUUUCUGUACCCCUGAAUUUUGCUCACAGAUUGUCAGGAGCCUAUCUGUAUGCAUCUAACUUGUCCAUGCAGUUUAUUAACUUGUCCAUGUAGUUUGACCCACAAAUCUCAAAAUAUUUGCUGGGACCUGUAUUUUCAUGGGCUAUAAAUUGCUUGUGAUUGCAUGCUGUAGCAAUAAAAACCCUGUUAUAUAUGUA